rnacentral:rRNA from 1 species
UACGUAGGGGGCUAGCGUUGUCCGGAAUCAUUGGGCGUAAAGCGCGUGUAGGCGGCCCGGUAAGUCUGCUGUGAAAGUCCAGGGCUCAACCCUGGGAUGCCGGUGGAUACUGUCGAGCUCGAGUCCGGAAGAGGCGAGUGGAAUUCCUGGUGUAGCGGUGAAAUGCGCAGAUAUCAGGAGGAACACCAAUGGCGAAGGCAGCUCGCUGGGACGUGACUGACGCUGAGACGCGAAAGCGUGGGGAGCAAACAGG